AUGUCCAGUGUUUCUUCUCUCUCCUCAGGCUCUGAUGGACAAAAUGUUGUUGUGACUCAGCAGCCAGCAGCCAGAUCAGUGCAGCUCCGUCAGACUGUCACUGUGGACUGUAAGGCCAGUAGACAACUUUCAACAUCUGACUGCAGCUACUCCUCACAACCCUGCAUCUCCUGGUACCAUCAGAAAUCUGGAGAAGCUCCUAAAGCUCUGAUCUAUGGAACGUCACACAGAUUUUCAGGAGUCUCCUCCAGAUUUAGUGGAAGUGGAGCAGGGAAUGGGUUGGACUUCACUCUGACCAUCAGUGGAGUUGAAGCUGAAGAUUCAGGAGUUUAUUACUGUCAGAGUUAUCAUUAUAUCAACAGUCAGAGUGUGUUCACACAGUGAAAAGUCAUCGUACAAAAACCUCCCUCAGCUAAAGAGGAACUGAUCUGACUCAACAGCUGCACUGACACUGAAACACUAAAACCUUUAGAGUUUUUUAUGAUAAUAUUCAGGUAAAAUUACUUGUCUGUCCAUUUCU